GUUUUGCUUUCUGGGCCUGUAAUGAAUGGUAAAGUCAUAUGGUUGUUGCACCAGGCUCCACUGUAACAGCCUGGCAUUGUCUCUCGUUACCCGGUUAAGUCACACCAAUGCGUUGUGAUCUGUGAGCAGUGUGAAUUGCUGUCCGUUGAUAUAGGGCUGCAGCAUUCUGAAUGCCCACACCACCACCAGGCACUCCUUCUCAAUGGCGGCAUAGCUCAGGUCCCUGGGUAGUAGUUUUUGACUGAGGUAAGCUAUUGGGUGUUCUCCGCCAUCAUCCCCGACCUGACUCAGCACUGCUCAUAAUCCAGGGCGUUUUUGAGGGCAUGGAACACCUGCUCACACUCUGG